UACCUGGUUGAUCCUGCCAGUAGUCAUAUGCUUGUCUCAAAGAUUAAGCCAUGCAAGUCUAAGUACGAGCUCUCGUACAGUGAACCUGCGAAUGGCUCAUUAAAUCAGUUAUGGUUCAUUUGAUCGUACAGUUUACUUGGAUAACUGUGGUAAUUCUAGAGCUAAUACAUGCGAGAAGCGCCGACCUCGCGGGAGGCGUGCAUUUAUCAGACCAAAAACCGGCCGCGUCUUCGGGCGCGUUCGCCUUGGUGACUCUGGAUAACUUUGCGGAUCGCACGGUCUAGCACCGGCGACGGAUCAUUCAAGUGUCUGCCCUAUCAACUUUCGUCGGUACGGUAUUUGCCUACCGAGGUUCUUACGGGUGACGGGGAAUCAGGGUUCGAUUCCGGAGAGGGAGCCUGAGAAACGGCUACCACAUCCAAGGAAGGCAGCAGGCGCGCAAAUUACCCAUUCCCGACGCGGGGAGGUAGUGACGAAAAAUAACAAUGCAGGAACUCGUUCGAGGCCCUGUAAUUGGAAUGAGUACACUUUAAAAGCUUUAACGAGUAUCCAUUGGAGGGCAAGUCUGGUGCCAGCAGCCGCGGUAAUUCCAGCUCCAAAAGUAUAUAUUUAAGUUGUUGCGGUUAAAAAGCUCGUAGUUGGAUUUUGGGCGCAGGCGGCCGGUCCGUCGCAAGGCGUGUACUGGACGUCCUGGCCUUCCCUCCGGUUCUCCGCCGGUGCUCUUGACUGAGUGUCGGCGGCGGCCGGAACGUUUACUUUGAAAAAAUUAGAGUGUUCAAAGCAGGCUCUCGAGCCUGGAUAAUGGUGCAUGGAAUAAUGGAAUAGGACCUCGGUUCUAUUUUGUUGGUUUUCGGAGCGCGAGGUAAUGAUUAAGAGGGACAGACGGGGGCAUUCGUACUGUGCCGUUAGAGGUGAAAUUCUUGGAUCGGCGCAAGACGAACGACUGCGAAAGCAUUUGCCAAGAAUGUUUUCUUUAAUCAAGAGCGAAAGUCAGAGGUUCGAAGACGAUCAGAUACCGUCCUAGUUCUGACUAUAAACGAUGCCAACUAGCGAUCGGGGGGCGUUACAUUGACGACCCCCCCGGCAGCUUACGGGAAACCAA
rfam:Ciona savignyi cont_53629, whole genome shotgun sequence.